AUACUUACCUGGCCAGGGAGAUGCCAUGAUUAUGAAGAUGGUUUUCCUAGGCGAGGCUUAUCCAUUGCACUUGGAUGUGCUGACCCCUGCGACUUCCCCAAAUGUGGGAAACUUGAGUACAUAAUUUGUGGUAGUGGGGGAUAUAUUUGUGCUCUCCUCUG
rfam:Myotis lucifugus cont2.14640, whole genome shotgun sequence.